AUCCCUGUAGAAUAUUGGUUAUUUCACCUCCCUUUCAAGGAGAAGAAGCGAGUUCGAUUCUCGUCAGGGGUACCA
rnacentral:tRNA from 1 species